rnacentral:rRNA from 1 species
GACAGAGGUUGCAAACGUUGUUCGGAAUUACUGGGCAUAAAAGCGCACGUAGGCGGUCCGUUAAGUCAUGUGUGAAAAUCCCCCCCGGCUCAACCGGGGGAAUUGCGCCCUGAUACUGGCGGGGCUAGAGAUCGAUAGGGGUGAGUGGAAACUCCCAGGUGGGAGCGGUGAAAAUGCGUAGAUAUCUGGAGGAACACCGGUGGCGAAAGCGGCUCACUGGAUCGAUACUGACGCUGAGGUGCGAAAGCUAAGGGUAGCAAAACGGGG